GGAGAGGUGGCCGAGUCCGGUUGAAGGCGACGGUCUCGAAAACCGUUAUAGGUGCAAGCCUAUCUAGGGUUCAAAUCCCUACCUCUCCG
rnacentral:tRNA from 1 species